AUCGAGUUAUUCGAGUUAAUCGAG
rnacentral:miRNA from 1 species